CCUACGGGUGGCAGCAGUGGGGAAUAUUGGACAAUGGGGGCAACCCUGAUCCAGCCAUGCCGCGUGUGUGAAGAAGGCCCUCGGGUUGUAAAGCACUUUCAGUGAGGAAGAACGCCUGGUGGUUAAUACCCAUCAGGAAAGACAUCACUCACAGAAGAAGCACCGGCUAACUCCGUGCCAGCAGCCGCGGUAAUACGGAGGGUGCGAGCGUUAAUCGGAAUUACUGGGCGUAAAGCGCGCGUAGGUGGCUUGAUAAGCCGGUUGUGAAAGCCCCGGGCUCAACCUGGGAACGGCAUCCGGAACUGUCAAGCUAGAGUUAAGGAGAGGAAGGUAGAAUUCCCGGUGUAGCGGUGAAAUGCUUAGAGAUCGGGAGGAAUACCAGUGGCGAAGGCGGCCUUCUGGACUGACACUGACACUGAGGUGCGAAAGCGUGGGUAGCAAACAGGAUUAGAUACCCCUGUAGUC
rnacentral:rRNA from 1 species